rnacentral:sRNA from 1 species
UCAACACUACAACCAGACGCGCGGCGCCA